rnacentral:rRNA from 1 species
ACUCCUACGGGUGGCUGCAGUGGGGAAUAUUGCACAAUGGGCGCAAGCCUGAUGCAGCGACGCCGCGUGGGGGAUGAAGGCCUUCGGGUUGUAAACUCCUUUCGCUAGGGACGAAGCUUUGUGUGACGGUACCUAGAUAAGAAGCACCGGCUAACUACGUGCCAGCAGCCGCGGUAAUACGUAGGGUGCGAGCGUUGUCCGGAAUUACUGGGCGUAAAGGGCUCGUAGGUGGUUUGUCGCGUCGUCUGUGAAAUUCUGGGGCUUAACUCCGGGCGUGCAGGCGAUACGGGCAUAACUUGAGUGCUGUAGGGGUAACUGGAAUUCCUGGUGUAGCGGUGAAAUGCGCAGAUAUCAGGAGGAACACCGAUGGCGAAGGCAGGUUACUGGGCAGUUACUGACGCUGAGGAGCGAAAGCAUGGGUAGCGAACAGGAUUAGAUACCCUGGUAGUCCAUGCCGUAAACGGUGGGCGCUAGGUGUGAGGGUCUUUCUACGACUUUCGUGCCGUAGCUAACGCAUUAAGCGCCCCGCCUGGGGAGUACGGCCGCAAGGCUAAAACUCAAAGGAAUUGACGGGGGCCCGCACAAGCGGCGGAGCAUGUGGAUUAAUUCGAUGCAACGCGAAGAACCUUACCUGGGCUUGACAUACACUAGAUCGCUGCAGAGAUGUAGUUUCCCUUUGUGGUUGGUGUACAGGUGAUGCAUGGAUGUCGUCAGCUCGUG